ensembl:snRNA U7 U7 small nuclear RNA
UAGGGUUACAGCUCUUUUAGAAUUUGUCUAGCAGAUUUUCCAG